rnacentral:rRNA from 1 species
AUUGAACGCUGGCGGCAGGCCUAACACAUGCAAGUCGAGCGAGCGGCGGACGGGUGAGUAAUGUAUGUGGCCUGCCCGAUAGAGGGGGAUAACUACUGGAAACGGUGGCUAAUACCGCAUACUGUCGGAUAACCCAUAUGGGAUUAAAUGGUAGGUAAGGUAAUGGCUUACCUAGUCGACGAUCCCUAGCUGUUCUGAGAGGAUGAUCAGCCACACGGGGACGAGGACGAGGCGCAGACUCCUACGGAGGCAGCGGUGGGAAAUAUUGGGCAAUGAGCAGAAGCCAAAUGCACCCAUGCGGCGAAUAUGAGGAAGGGCCUAGGGUUGUAGAGUAUUUUCAGUCGGGAGGCGUUACCGACAGAAGAAGCACCGGCUAACUCCGUGCCAGCAGCCGCGGUAAUAC